UCUUCUUCUUCUUCUUCUUCUUCUUCUUCUUCUUCUUCUUCUUCUUCUUCUUCUUCUUCUUCUUCUUUUUCCUGGAAGGAAAUCUCGCGUUUACUAUGGUUGAAAACGAGCUGACCUUCCUUAACUGAUUCAAGAAGAACGAGUUUGACCUUAAUGCCUGCAUGUUGUGAGAUCCGAGGACCAAGGGAUAAGGAAGAACAUUUAUAUGAAAUAUUUUGAAAAAAAUAAAACAAACUGCUGAUUUGCUUCUUCUAUGAUCUUCACACAAAGAUAGGGAGGAGGUGUAGACAUUUUGUACACACCGACAACAGCACUUACUUGCAUGACACAUUCAAAUCGCUGUGUUAAAAUGGACACUUAGGUUUAUUCCACAAUAUGAGGCAAAUUCCCGACCAAGCCAAAUGCGAUGUUGUAAUACUGUGCACAUCCUCUGUGUUCUCUAAUGCAGUGUAAAAUCGCCAUGAGAGACUUUGUACAUAAAAGCUUGCCAAGAAAACUGUAGCUGGAGAUCACAGCUAUAUGGCAACUUCUCUGAUUUCCUAUUUACUGAUACCUUUGGUACUGACUAUAUAAGUGUGAUUCAUUUUCUCAUUGUCCAAUAUUAACGUGUGCAAGAGAUGAUUCAAUAAAACAUGAGCACAGUGCUUCAAGGUAACUGGGUUUUGCAUAUCAUUACUUUCCUCUGGAAGGCCAUACUAAUAUGACGAGUUCUACGCAUUUGGAUUUACUGUAUCGUAUAAUAAAUCAUUUUUUCAA